AACGAACGCUGGCGGCAUGCCUAACACAUGCAAGUCGAACGAGACCUUCGGGUCUAGUGGCGCACGAGUGCGUAACGCGUGGGAACCUGCCCUUAGGUUCGGAAUAACUCCCCGAAAGGGGUGCUAAUACCGGAUAAUGUCUUCGGACCAAAGAUUUAUCGCCUUUGGAUGGGCCCGCGUUGGAUUAGCUAGUUGGUAGGGUAAAAGCCUACCAAGGCGACGAUCCAUAGCUGGUCUGAGAGGAUGAUCAGCCACACUGGGACUGAGACACGGCCCAGACUCCUACGGGAGGCAGCAGUGGGGAAUAUUGGACAAUGGGCGAAAGCCUGAUCCAGCAAUGCCGCGUGAGUGAUGAAGGCCUUAGGGUUGUAAAGCUCUUUUACCCGGGAUGAUAAUGACAGUACCGGGAGAAUAAGCUCCGGCUAACUCCGUG
rnacentral:rRNA from 1 species